rnacentral:rRNA from 1 species
GCGACGCCGCGUGAGGGAUGACGGCCUUCGGGUUGUAAACCUCUUUCGACAGGGACGAAGCGAAAGUGACGGUACCUGUAGAAGAAGCACCGGCCAACUACGUGCCAGCAGCCGCGGUAAUACGUAGGGUGCGAGCGUUGUCCGGAAUUACUGGGCGUAAAGAGCUUGUAGGCGGUCUGUCGCGUCUUCUGUGAAAACUUGGGGCUCAACCUUAAGCUUGCAGGGGAUACGGGCAGACUAGAGUACUUCAGGGGAGACUGGAAUUCCUGGUGUAGCGGUGAAAUGCGCAGAUAUCAGGAGGAACACCGGUGGCGAAGGCGGGUCUCUGGGAAGUAACUGACGCUGAGAAGCGAAAGCGUGGGUAGCGAACAGGAUUAGAUACCCUGGUAGUCCACGCCGUAAACGGUGGGUACUAGGUGUGGGUUUCCUUCCACGGGAUCCGUGCCGUAGCUAACGCAUUAAGUACCCCGCCUGGGGAGUACGGCCGCAAGGCUAAAACUCAAAGGAAUUGACGGGGGCCCGCACAAGCGGCGGAGCAUGUGGAUUAAUUCGAUGCAACGCGAAGAACCUUACCUGGGUUUGACAUACACCGGACACCUGCAGAGAUGUAGGCCCCCUUGUGGUC